CAGCAGCCACGGUAAUACGUAGGGUGCAAGCGUUAAUCGGAAUUACUGGGCGUAAAGCGUGCGCAGGCGGUUAUAUAAGACAGAUGUGAAAUCCCCGGGCUCAACCUGGGAACUGCAUUUGUGACUGUAUAGCUAGAGUACGGCAGAGGGGGAUGGAAUUCCGCGUGUAGCAGUGAAAUGCGUAGAUAUGCGGAGGAACACCGAUGGCGAAGGCAAUCCCCUGGGCCUGUACUGACGCUCAUGCACGAAAGCGUGGGGAGCAAACAGGAUUAGAUACCCCUAGUCCCUGUCUCUUAUACAC
rnacentral:rRNA from 1 species